rnacentral:rRNA from 1 species
UACGGAGGGUGCGAGCGUUGUCCGGAAUUAUUGGGCGUAAAGAGCUUGUAGGCGGUUUGUCGCGUCUGCCGUGAAAAUCCGGGGCUCAACCCCGGACUUGCGGUGGGUACGGGCAGACUAGAGUGUGGUAGGGGAGACUGGAAUUCCUGGUGUAGCGGUGAAAUGCGCAGAUAUCAGGAAGAACACCCGUGGCGAAGGCGGCUCUCUGGGCCGUAACUGACGCUGAGGCGCGACAGCGUGGGGAGCAAACAGG